rnacentral:ncRNA from 1 species
CUCAACAUGCAAGAUUAACUAAGUGCUUAGCAGUUAGUUUUGCUAUGGGCGGUACGUAAAGAAAUUUGCGUGCGUUUACCUGUCAAACUCGGGGAAGCCAUUAGCGCGGUAAUCCCGAACCAAGCUCUCGCAAGAGAGAAGGUGUAGAGACUGGAAGGCAGGCAUCCUAACGUUAAGCCGAGGAUGAAGGGACAGUCCAGACCACAAACUGGUUAACUAAAAGCUAGUUAAUUCAGGCAGUGAAAGCUGUAGAUGAUGGUAAGCAUAA